rnacentral:lncRNA from 1 species
GCCCAUGGUGGAUGCAUAGGGAGGGAAGGGCACAACAGGCAUGCCUUUAGGGGGCCACGUCCUGGGAAUCCUGCCCCAGGCCGCCAGCAUCCAGCUCGAGGGCUGUCAGUUGCAGAGCUAGGCCCUGGCAUCUCUGAAGGACAAGGCAGCAUCCUUUUCUGUGCUGAGUCUUUCUAACACUGAAUGAUCUUCAGCCUUCGGGUGUGCUGCGAGUCCGUGGGUGGCAGGGGAAGCAGGAGACAGUAUCAUGAAAGAUGCAUUCAACUCCCAGGGCGAUUUCUGGUCUCCUUGGCUCAGAUGGCAAAGAAUCUGCCUGCAAUGCAGGAGAUCCCUGGGUCAGGAAGGUCUCCAGGACUGGGAAAUGGCAACCCACUCCAGUUUUCUUGUCUGGAGAAUCCCCAUGGACAGAGGAGCCCGACGGACUGCAGUCCAUGGGGUCAUAAAGAGUUGGACACGACUGAGCGACUAACAACACUUUUUCCUAUUGUAGAAUGACUGGUUCCUUCUCCAGCCUAGAACGAUAAAGUGACUUUUAUUUUUUAUUUUUAUAUUUUUUGAUAAAGUGACUUUAAAGGCAAGUCACUUUUCGGACAAAAGCUAUCUCUUUUGUCUUCCCUCCCUCCGCAUCUGCCGCGUCUCCGAAUAGUGACUUUAUACUGGCUGGGUAUUUUCUUUUUUUCAAUCCUCCGAUGGCAGAGGUGAGGCGCGCAGGCACCCGGAACUGUGGUUCGCGGGUGUUUGUUUCCCGCCGGGACAGAUGCCUCGGGCCCCGCCCGGCCGCAAUGGGAGCCGGAAGAGGGCUUCGGGCUCUUAGAGUCCAUCUCCACCGCGCCGCGGACGGAUGUCCCAGGGCCGCGUCUCGGGCCACUUCCCGCCGCGCUCGGACCCGAGAGGCUCCCGCACUGCCAGCCGGCGCCGGGAGGCAGGGCCUGAGCUCCGCACGGCCGGAGAGGCCCGAGCGGCGCGGUGCGUCCGCUGGGGCGCCCGCUCAGACGCAGGCACGCGGGGCGGAACGACUCGGAGCUGGAGGCCCGGCGGCUGGCCCAGCACGUCCAGGACCGCUCGGCUGGAAGGGAUUUCCUGGACGGUGGAGGGACCGCAGGGGCCCCGUAGAGGCUCCCGUUUCUGCUAUCCUGGCCAGCGGGGAGAAGCAGGAGUCUCUUGUUGGAUCCCUGACUCUCCCACAGUCUCUCUUCAUAGCCUGGGAUCGAUCACCACCCAUCCUGGACUCAGUUUCUGUGAGAUGGGACAGAAUGAAGCGUCCUUAUCAGGUGAGCUGCAAACUCACCUAA